rnacentral:tRNA from 1 species
UCCCUGGUGGCUCAGUUGGUAAAGUGUCUGUCUAUAAUGUGGGAGACCCAGGUUCGAUCCCUGGGUUGGGAA